rnacentral:rRNA from 1 species
GAGGUAGACGCAGAGAACUGAAACAUCUAAGUACCUGCAGGAAGAGAAAGAAAAUUCGAUUCCCUGAGUAGCGGCGAGCGAAACGGGAAAAGCCCAAACCAAUGAGCUUGCUCAUUGGGGUUGUAGGACUCCAAUAUGGUAGUUCUUUCAGAUAGUCGAAUGACUUGGAAAAGUCAGUCAAAGAGGGUAAAAACCCCGUAGAUGAAAUUUGGAAGGCACCUAGGAGGAUCCUGAGUACGGCGGAACACGAGGAAUUCCGUCGGAAUCCGGGAGGACCAUCUCCCAAGGCUAAAUACUCCCUAGUGACCGAUAGUGAACCAGUACCGUGAGGGAAAGGUGAAAAGCACCCCGGAAGGGGAGUGAAAUAGAACCUGAAACCGUGUGCCUACAACAAGUCAAAGCCCGUUAAUGGGUGAUGGCGUGCCUUUUGUAGAAUGAACCGGCGAGUUACGAUUGCAUGCGAGGUUAAGUUGAAGAGACGGAGCCGCAGCGAAAGCGAGUCUGAAUAGGGCGUUUGAGUAUGUAGUCGUAGACCCGAAACCAUGUGAUCUACCCAUGUCCAGGUUGAAGGUGCGGUAAAACGCACUGGAGGACCGAACCCACGUACGUUGAAAAGUGCGGGGAUGAGGUGUGGGUAGCGGAGAAAUUCCAAACGAACUUGGAGAUAGCUGGUUCUCUCCGAAAUAGCUUUAGGGCUAGCCUCGGAAUUGAGAAUGAUGGAGGUAGAGCACUGUUUGGACUAGGGGCCCAUCUCGGGUUACCGAAUUCAGAUAAACUCCGAAUGCCAUUCAUUCAUAUCCGGGAGUCAGACUGUGAGUGAUAAGAUCCAUAGUCGAAAGGGAAACAGCCCAGACCACCAGCUAAGGUCCCAAAAUAUAUGUUAAGUGGAAAAGGAUGUGGGGUUGCACAGACAACUAGGAUGUUGGCUUAGAAGCAGCCACCAUUUAAAGAGUGCGUAAUAGCUCACUAGUCGAGUGACCCUGCGCCGAAAAUGUACCGGGGCUAAACAUAUUACCGAAGCUGUGGAGUACACCUUUAGGUGUAUUGGUAGGAGAGCGUUCUAAGGGCGUUGAAGGCAGAUCGUGAGGACUGCUGGAGCGCUUAGAAGUGAGAAUGCCGGUAUGAGUAGCGAAAGACAGGUGAGAAUCCUGUCCACCGAAUGACUAAGGUUUCCUGGGGAAGGCUCGUCCGCCCAGGGUUAGUCGGGACCUAAGCCGAGGCCGACAGGCGUAGGCGAUGGACAACAGGUUGAUAUUCCUGUACUCGUUGUUUUUGUUUGAGCAAUGGAGGGACGCAGGAGGCUAAGGAAUGCAGACGAUUGGAAAUGUCUGUCUAAGCAGUAAGUCUUGAUAGGAGUCAAAUGCUUCUGUCUGUACGGACAAGCUGUGAUGGGGAGGGAAAUAAUAGUACCGAAGUUCCUGAUGUCACACUGCCGAGAAAAGCUUCUAGUGAGAAAACAACGACCCGUACCGCAAACCGACACAGGUAGUCGAGGAGAGAAUCCUAAGGUGAGCGAGAGAACUCUCGUUAAGGAACUCGGCAAAAUGACCCCGUAACUUCGGGAGAAGGGGUGCUGAUCU